rnacentral:rRNA from 1 species
UACAGAGGUCCCGAGCGUUGUUCGGAUUCACUGGGCGUAAAGGGUGCGUAGGUGGCUUGAAAAGUUUGAUGUGAAAGCUCAGGGCUUAACCCUGAAAUGGCAUUGAAUACUGUCGAGCUAGAGGUUUGGAGGGGGGACUGGAAUUCUUGGUGUAGCAGUGAAAUGCGUAGAUAUCAAGAGGAACACCAGUGGCGAAGGCGAGUCCCUGGACAACACCUGACACUGAGGCACGAAAGCUAGGGGAGCAAACAGG